rnacentral:rRNA from 1 species
CCUACGGGGGGCAGCAGUGAGGAAUAUUGGUCAAUGGACGAGAGUCUGAACCAGCCAAGUAGCGUGAAGGAUGACUGCCCUAUGGGUUGUAAACUUCUUUUAUAUGGGAAUAAAAUGUUCCACGUGUGGGAUUUUGUAUGUACCAUAUGAAUAAGGAUCGGCUAACUCCGUGCCAGCAGCCGCGGUAAUACGGAGGAUCCGAGCGUUAUCCGGAUUUAUUGGGUUUAAAGGGGGCGUAGGUGGAUUGUUAAGUCAGUUGUGAAAGUUUGGGGCUCAACCGUAAAAUUGCAGUUGAAACUGGCAGUCUUGAGUACAGUAGAGGUAGGCGGAAUGCGUGGUGUAGCGGUGAAAUGCUUAGAGAUCACGAAGAACUCCGAUUGCGAAGGCAGUUCACUGGACUGCAACUGACACUGAGGCUCGAAAGUGUGGGUAUCAAACAGGAUUAGAUACCCUUGUAGUC